rnacentral:rRNA from 1 species
GACGUAGGGUGCAAGCGUUGUCCGGAUUUACUGGGCGUAAAGCGCGCGUAGGCGGCUCGUUAAGUGUGGAGUGAAAUGCCGGGGCUCAACCCCGGAACUGCUUUACAUACUGGCGAGCUUGAGGGAUGCAGAGGUUUGUGGAAUUCCUGGUGUAGCGGUGAAAUGCGUAGAUAUCAGGAGGAACACCGGUGGUGUAGACGGCUCUCUGGACCGUAACUGACGCUGAGACACGAAAGCGUGGGUAGCAAACAGG